rnacentral:ncRNA from 1 species
ACGAUAAUGGCAAACCGUCGGCAACGGCGGGACGCAAAGCUUCCGGCCCGGUUAUCUCCGGGUAGCGGGGUUGUCGA